rnacentral:lncRNA from 1 species
GGGAGCCUUUCUGGGCAGUUCAGUGCUCACACUGCUGUGCCCUUCCUGUGACUGAGCAGCUUUCCAAAUCUUUCUUCUCCCUGCAGACUACAGGAAUCCCUUUGUGGAGAUGUACUCUGAGCACCCUGACAUCAUCUACAUCGUGGAUGACAGGAAAACAGUGGUGAUCCCCUGCCGGGUCACCUCGCCAGACAUCAAACCCAAACUCACCCAGUACCCUUCCUCUGCAGAGAUCAGCUUCAAGAAGAUGUCCUGGGACCCCAAGAGAGGCUUUGUCAUCCCCUCCCACUCCUUCGUGCCCUCCGGGAUCCUCACAUGCUCAGCCCACGUCAAUGGCAGCGUCUUCAACUCCUACUACAUGGCCCAGAGACUGGAACUUGGACUGGCGCCACUCCUGGUUUUGAAAAAAGACCAAGUGCUGAGGUGGUACAAAACAGAAGUGUUUUAUUCAAACCCCACCAAGGCUUUGUUUGCUUGGAUUGAGCUGUAUUUACAUUAAAACAACUGCUGGUUCAGGACAAAGCAAACAGCAGCUUUCUUUUUGCUUCUGGUCAUUAACCACGUGUGAUUGUCGUAUAAAAACCUCACUACACUGCUAAUUCACACCUUUGCUUUUUAUAGAUUUUCUCUUGGUGAUUUACUACAUAAUUUCCCUUAGAUUUACAGCUGAGCUUCAGCUCAUAAUUAAAACCUGAAUUUGAAGCAACCAAACAUUAAAUUUUUGAGUGCUGGGUAUUUAUAUGAAACCAAUUAGAAUUUAUUUUUCUUUUGUUUUCCAUGUAUGUUCCUUAUCCCCUCAUAUAUCUUCUAUUUACUUGGACUUCAUUCCCAUUAGCUCAUGGCAUCCUUCUUUACAAUCAGCACUCAGCUUUGAACAACAGGCUUGUAAAUUUGUGUGGCAGCCAAAUAAAAGUCCGGUAAAUCUCUCUUUUUCUCCUUUU